rnacentral:rRNA from 1 species
UACGGAGGGAGCUAGCGUUGUUCGGAAUUACUGGGUGUAAAGCGCGCGUAGGCGGCUUUGUAAGUUAGAGGUGAAAGCCCGGGGCUCAACCCCGGAACUGCCUUUAAGACUGCAUCGCUUGAAUCCGGGAGAGGUGAGUGGAAUUCCGAGUGUAGAGGUGAAAUUCGUAGAUAUUCGGAAGAACACCAGUGGCGAAGGCGGCUCACUGGACCGGUAUUGACGCUGAGGUGCGAAAGCGUGGGGAGCAAACAGG